ACUCCUACGGGAGGCAGCAGUGGGGAAUAUUGCGCAAUGGGCGUAAGCCUGACGCAGCAACGCCGCGUGAGGGAAGAAGGCUCUCGGGUUGUAAACCGCUUUCAGAAGGAACGAAACUGACGGUACUUUCAGAAGAAGGUGCGGCCAACUACGUGCCAGCAGCCGCGGUGACACGUAGGCACCAAGCGUUGUCCGGAUUUAUUGGGCGUAAAGAGCUCGUAGGCGGUUCAGUAAGUCAGGUGUGAAAUCUUUGGGCUUAACCCAAAGCGUGCAUUUGAUACUGCUGGACUUGAGUUCGGUAGGGGAGUGGGGAAUUCCUAGUGUAGCGGUGAAAUGCGCAGAUAUUAGGAGGAACACCGGUGGCGAAGGCGCCACUCUGGGCCGAAACUGACGCUGAGGAGCGAAAGCGUGGGUAGCAAACAGGAUUAGAUACCCUGGUAGUCCACGCCGUAAACGUUGGGCACUAGGUGUGGGUUCCAACCAACGGAAUCCGCGCCGUCGCUAACGCAUUAAGUGCCCCGCCUGGGGAGUACGGCCGCAAGGUUAAAACUCAAAGGAAUUGACGGGGGCCCGCACAAGCAGCGGAGUGUGUUGCUUAAUUCGAUGCAACGCGAAGAACCUUACCUGGGCUUGACAUGUGGGGAAAAGCCGUAGAGAUACGGUGUCCUUCGGGGCCUCACACAGGUGGUGCAUGGCUGCCGUCAGCUCGUGUCGUGAGAUGUUGGGUUAAGUCCCGCAACGAGCGCAACCCUUAUUCUAUGUUGCCAGCGGAUUAUGCCGGGGACUCGUAGAAGACUGCCGGGGUCAACUCGGA
rnacentral:rRNA from 1 species